UAGCAGAAUACUAAAAAAAGAACAAAGAUUUCUGUUUGUUUAGUCGCUUGUCUUUUGUUAAUGUCUGUUGGAGGUAAGAAACAAACAAGUCAACCGCUUUUAGUCUUUGUGCAUAACUGCUGUUUGUUGAAAUGAGUUGUAUUGCUCUUUCGUGAGUGAUCCAGGCAUAGAGAAAUUAAGGGAUUAACUUUAUCACUUAACUGACAGAAAUACAGUUUCUGUGUUGGCAGGUAUCCUUUCUUGUUAUUACAGUUGAAAUGUUAGAAAUAUAGAUCUUUUUGCUAUUAGGUAAUGUCCACCUGCAUAAUAUGUUGCUGCUAAGUAAGUUUUGUCAAAUUUUAUAAAAAUCAUUAUGGAUUAUACGUUGAUCUAUAAAUGUCUGUAGUAUUAUUGUAUGUUUGAUCGCUGUUCAAUUGACAUAUGGCCAUCAUCCCCAUGUAUGCACAUCUAAAUAUUGCUUUUUUUCUCUUAAUUAAGAGAUGGGAUGAGAGGCACGCUCAGACAUAACAUUGGGGAACUGCUCACAAACCUCGAUCCGAGUUUCUAAAAAACCUUUUAUACCAAUGAAGUGAUGAUAUAUCAUAGCAACGAUUGUUUUUGGUUGUUUAUAAAUGAUUUGUGUACGUAUUUUGAAUCUUAUAUGCAUUAUGUUAUCAAAAUAUUUCACUUCACUUGAUGAAAUAAAAUACACAAUAUAUAAAACUUAUGUGCGAAACUAUUUCUGUCAACAUAAUUAUGUUAGCAUUGUACAUAAACAUGUUAAAAAUAUCAGUUUUCCUGUAUGUUGAAAUGCCUUUCAACGGUGUACAAUAUAUAUAUGUUUUUUUUAUUGCAGUCAACAUGGCGAAUGACGAAAUGCUGGAAGACAAUGGACUUAGUCAUGCGUAAAUUCGGUUGACUUGUUUAUCAUGUUUAUAGAUUCCAUAGAUUUUAUUAGUAUAAAAGCCGACUUUCAGUUGAGUGAGUUGGUUAAGUAAUAAUAAAUAACCUAGAUAUCAAAGGUCGAUGUGUGGUAAAUAUUGUCAUCACGAAUAUGAAGUUUUUAAGCAACAUUGGUUGUAUUAUAGAUUUAAGUAUAUUAUUAUUACAUGUAAAGGUCUCAAGCCCAUACUUUUAUAAGCAAACAAAACACAUACGAUGAACAAUGUUUCAAAUACAGAAAUACUAUGACAUGCAACGCUGAUGUAGAUUGAAGGGAUAUCGUAUUGGAAAAAAACAAUGAUUUUUUUUUAUAGUUUUACAUCAGUAUAAGUGUAAUAGUAGAUAUAAAAUAAAAAGUUUCAAUCGACAGCAAAAACUGAGAAGAAAGCAUCGGAUCAUAUUUGGACAAAAACAAAAAGUAUAAAGUUGUCAUAAAGCACAACAUAGAAUCAAAACAAACCUACAUGCUUCGGAAAGAGUUAGCCGUUUUUAGUCUAGACAGCCAAAGUUCCGAUUAUCCUCAGUAAAAAAUGAUCUCCAACCGCUGAAUCACUGGUUCCUAACUAGGGACAGAUACAUACAUAUUAUGGCAGCUGUAAACAUGAUUGCAGGCGCUGGCUUAAAAUAUUGAAAUCUUGAAAACAACAAGGAAGGAUUUACCUUCAUCAUGAACGCUCAAAGCCAAACAUUUGAAAUCCUAAGAUGUAUAAAUACCAAAACCGUUGAAGAGCUGUAUGUCAAAAAUACCUAAAGUAAUUAGUCAAAUUCAUCUGAAGCCAACUUUGCCUGAGGGAGUUGAAAACUUAGUUUCUUAACUAUUUCAAAAUUUAUAAACGAACAAUUUUAGUAAAGUUGUUAAAACAAGUCAGUACAGAAGUACUGACUACUGACCUGAUGAUACCCUGGAGGACUGAUAGUCCACCAGCAGAGGUAUCGACCCAGUGAUGUAAAAUAUUGAAAACAAUACGUUGAAAAAUUCCUUGCGUUCGAAGCGCUUUUCUGGAUUUACCUUCAUCAGGAACGCUCAAAGACAAACAUUUGAAAUCAUCCAAAGAUAUCUAAAUACCGAAACCGUUGAAGAGGAAUUGAUCAUUACCAGUACAUCUUCGUCAAUUACUUAUACAUGUCUAUGUAUGCUAUGAACUUUAUUGGAGGGACAUUUGAUAAUGUUGUCUCUUAAUCGACUCUAAAGAUAUCAUAAUGUCCAUUCACCUAUGCCCUGUAGUUAGUUUUGGAUAGCAUUCUAAUGAUCUGAAGCUAUAUUAAAAAAAUUUAAUAAAGAUGUAGAACACUUACAGUUUUAGCAAUUCAAAUAUUGGUAUUAGUACUUGUGUUUGUAAACAUUACAUGAUAGAAGUAUAAACCCAUACUUCCGGAAAUUUAUGAAUGUUCAAAUAUUACUCAAUCUUACCACCAAAAUGUAUGCUAAUAUGUGUUCUUUUAACAAAUAUCAACUAUCGAUGUUGUCUUGUUUUAGUCGUGUGAAGAGAGCUCCAUGUUGGCCUCGAGGAUGUUUUCGUGACCGUGACUGCUGUUAUGGAUAUCAAUGCUCUUACAAAAAAUGCAUGCGCAAAAGGGGCUAGUGAGUUUAGCCAUCCGUCAUUUGCAAGUCCUAUGAAGCCAAAAGGAUUCAAGAAAAUCGUGUUAUUUAAAAUGUUGGACUUGAGUAAAUGAUAAGCGAUAAUAAAAAUUAUUCAGAUUUA
rnacentral:lncRNA from 1 species